AUACAUGCAAGUCGAACGAAGAGAAGGCUAAGCUUGCUUAGUUGGAACUUAGUGGCGAACGGGUGAGUAACACGUAGGUAACCUACCCUUGUAAUUGGGAUAACUAAUGGAAACGUUAGCUAAAACCGGAUAGGAACACUUGAGGCAUCUCAAGAGUUUGAAAGGUGCGAAUGCACUGGACAAGGAUGGACCUGCGCUGCAUUAGCUAGUUGGUGAGGUAGAGGCUCACCAAGGCGAUGAUGCAUAGCCGACCUGAGAGGGUGAUCGGCCACACUGGGACUGAGACACGGCCCAGACUCCUACGGGAGGCAGCAGUAGGGAAUUUUCGGCAAUGGGGGGAACCCUGACCGAGCAAUGCCGCGUGAGUGAAGAAGGAUUUCGGUUCGUAAAGCUCUGUUGUAAGAGAAAAAUGUUAGAGACAGGAAAUGGUCUGUGAGUGAUGGUAUCUUACCAGAAAGCCACGGCUAACUACGUGCCAGCAGCCGCGGUAAUACGUAGGUGGCGAGCGUUAUCCGGAAUUAUUGGGCGUAAAGGGUGCGUAGGUGGCACGAUAAGUUGGGAGUGAAAACUUGGGGCUCAACCCCAAGCUUGCUUUUGAAACUGUCGAGCUAGAGUGCAGAAGAGGCAAGUGGAAUUCCAUGUGGAGCGGUAAAAUGCGUAGAUAUAUGGAGGAACACCAGUGGCGAAGGCGGCUUGCUGGUCUGUAACCGACACUGAGGCACGAAAGCGUGGGGAGCAAAUAGGAUUAGAUACCCUAGUAGUCCACGCCGUAAACGAUGAGAACUAAGUGUUGGAGAAAUUCAGUGCUGCAGUUAACGCAAUAAGUUCUCCGCCUGGGGAGUAUGCACGCAAGUGUGAAACUCAAAGGAAUUGACGGGGGCCCGCACAAGCGGUGGAGUAUGUGGUUUAAUUCGAAGCAACGCGAAGAACCUUACCAGGCCUUGGCAUGGAUGUAAAGACCCCAGAGAUGGGGAGAUAACUAUAGAUCACACAGGUGGUGCAUGGUUGUCGUCAGCUCGUGUCGUGAGAUGUUGGGUUAAGUCCCGCAACGAGCGCAACCCUUAUCUUUAGUUACCAUCAUUCAGUUGGGGACUCUAGAGAGACUGCCGGUGUAAGCCGGAGGAAGGUGGGGAUGACGUCAAAUCAUCAUGCCCCUUAUGGCCUGGGCUACACACGUACUACAAUGGCAACCACAAAGAGCAGCGAGACUGUGAAGUUCAGCGAAUCUCAUAAAGGUUGUCUCAGUUCGGAUUGUAGUCUGCAACUCGACUACAUGAAGUCGGAAUCGCUAGUAAUCGCGAAUCAGCAUGUCGCGGUGAAUACGUUCUCGGGCCUUGUACACACCGCCCGUCAAACCAUGGGAGUUGGUAAUACCCGAAGCCGGUGACCAUAACCUUAGGGAGUGAGCCGUCGAACGGUAGGACUGA
rnacentral:rRNA from 1 species